UACGUAGGCAGCAAGCGUUGUUCGGAAUUACUGGGCGUAAAGCGUGCGUAGGCGGCUUGUCACGUCGGGUGUGAAAGCCCGGGGCUUAACCCCGGGUCUGCAUUCGAUACGGGCUAGCUAGAGUGUGGUAGGGGAGAUCGGAAUUCCUGGUGUAGCGGUGAAAUGCGCAGAUAUCAGGAGGAACACCGGUGGCGAAGGCGGAUCUCUGGGCCGUAACUGACGCUGAGGAGCGAAAGCAUGGGGAGCGAACAGG
rnacentral:rRNA from 1 species